UGCGUAGGCGGUUGGGCAAGUCUAGUGUGAAAUCUCCCGGCUUAACUGGGAGGGUGCGCCGGAAACUGCCUGGCUAGAGUGUGGGAGAGGAAAGUGGAAUUCCUGGUGUAGCGGUGAAAUGCGUAGAUAUCAGGAGGAACACCUGCGGUGUAGACGGCUUUCUGGACCACUACUGACGCUGAGGCACGAAAGCGUGGGGAGCAAACAGGAUUAGAUACCCUGGUAGUCCACGCCCUAAACGAUGCGGACUUGGUGUGCGCCCUUCAUUGGGUGCGUGCCGGAGCUAACGCGUUAAGUCCGCCGCCUGGGGAGUACGGUCGCAAGGCUGAA
rnacentral:rRNA from 1 species